rnacentral:misc_RNA from 1 species
UGUGGGAGGGGGCUUGCCCCCGAUAGCGGUUGCUCAGUCAAUGUAUCGGGUGACUGACACACUGCCAUCGGGGGCAAGCCCCCUCCCACA